GUCUUUCUAGUAUUAGGCAGUAUAAGUGACUUCCAAUCACCCGGUCUUGGUUAAAGUCCAAGGAAAGAUA
rnacentral:tRNA from 1 species